rnacentral:rRNA from 1 species
CCUACGGGAGGCUGCAGUGAGGAAUAUUGGUCAAUGGACGCAAGUCUGAACCAGCCAUGCCGCGUGCAGGAAGACGGCUCUAUGAGUUGUAAACUGCUUUUGUACGAGGGUAAACGCAGAUACGCGUAUUUGUCUGAAAGUAUCCUACGAAUAAGCAUCGGCCAACGCCGUGCCAGCAGCCGCGGUAAUACGGAGGAUUCAAGCGUUAUCCGGUUUUAUUGGGUUUAAAGGGUGCGUAGGCGGUCGGGUAAGUUAGAGGUGAAAUGCCGGGGCUCAACCUCGGAAUUGCCUCGGAUACUGUUCGGCUAGAGAGUAGGUGAGGUAGGCGGAAUGUAUGGUGUAGCGGUGAAAUGCUUAGAGAUCAUACAGAACACCGAUUGCGAAGGCAGCUUAC